rnacentral:rRNA from 1 species
AUGGCCGACGACCUCCCCGAGCCAAGCGAAGACGUCGAGGAGCAUCGUCGGCAUCUCCUGCGUCUACUACAGCCAGCAGUGCGAGCUGGGAGGCGUUGCUUCCCCGGAUCCUCGUCGUCUUCCACCUUCGGCACCGCCGCCGUCACCGCCUCAUCGUCUCCGCGGCCAGCGUCGUCCCUUUCGUCCGAGCUUGCGCCAGGAGCUCCACAUGCCUCCCCUGCUUCCCCUACACGGAUCCACUCGAGCUCGAAGCACCCACCUCGACCGAAUCGUCCGUCUUCCUCGACUACGGCCGCUGCGGCCAUCGCCGUCGAUCUGCACCACCGGCGCCUCCCGGCCUCGCCGAGCUCGUCCACGGCUUCCCCGGGAUGGUGGAGUCCAGGAGCCAGAUGCCACCUUUGA